rnacentral:rRNA from 1 species
AGUUACCAUCAUUAAGUUGGGGACGUCUAGCGAGACUGCCAGUGAUAAACUGGAGGAAGGUGGGGAUGACGUCAAAUCAUCAUGCCCCUUAUGACCUGGGCUACAAACGUGAUACAAUGGCUGGAACAAAGGGAUGCGAAGCAGUGAUGUGGAGCGAAACCCAUAAAACAGUCUCAGUUCGGAUUGAAGUCUGCAACUCGACUUCAUGAAGUCGGAAUCGCUAGUAAUCGCGGAUCAGAACGCCGCGGUGAAUACGUUCUCGGGGUUU